GACGAACCUUGCUAACGUUAAUCGGAAUUACUGGGCGUAAAGCGUGCGCAGGCGGCUUCGCAAGUCAGACGUGAAAUCCCCGGGCUUAACCUGGGAAUGGCGUUUGAAACUACGGAGCUGGAGUGUGGCAGAGGGAGGUAGAAUUCCACGUGUAGCGGUGAAAUGCGUAGAUAUGUGGAGGAAUACCGAUGGCGAAGGCAGCCUCCUGGGCCAACACUGACGCUCAUGCACGAAAGCGUGGGGAGCAAACAGG
rnacentral:rRNA from 1 species